rnacentral:rRNA from 1 species
AUAAACAAAUACAACUUUCAGCAACGGAUCUCUUGGCUCUCGCAUCGAUGAAGAACGCAGC